rnacentral:lncRNA from 10 species
UGUAUAUAUGUACACACACAUAUAUACAUAUGCAUAUAAAGUAUAUGUACUUUUAAAAUGUUAAUCUAUGUGUAUGCAUGUAAUAUAUAUACAUAUGUAUAUAGGCACACACAGACAUAUGCAUACAUACACAUAUAUAGCAGGGUCCUAAAAUAUAUAUAGCUAUAUAUACACAUAUAUAGCAGGGUCCUAAAAUAUAUGUAGCUAUGUAUACACAUAUAUAGCAGGGUCCUAAAAAUCUGUGACCAUGCAGUUAUCAUCUCCAGGAAAUUAUUAUGAGUCUAUUUCAAUUACGAUACAAAUCUCUUCCCUAGUAAAUACAGUGCAGCCUAUAAACAUAGACAUUUGGGAAUAGAGAUACUUUCUUUCAAUGAAAUAACAUUACAUUCCUUGCAAACUUAGAUUAUUUUCAAAAGACUGACCAAAAUGUAUUUUUGGAAAGAAAGAGAAUAAGACAAAAAAAAAAAAAAAAAACCAUAGCAAAAUUUCAGGAUAAAAAAAUGCUGCUCAAAUUAGCUUUUCUCACAAAAUGCUGCACCACAUAGUGAUAUUUAGUCCCAAAGAGGCAGUAGUUUUUCACCAUAGGCCUUCUGUCCCUGUGGACUGCCCUUUCUAUGGCUCCCACCCACUCCCCUUUUGUAUCUGUAAUCACUGUGUUGAACAUGGAUGGCACUGAUAACAUUUUGCAUUCCAUUUUCUUCCUCUUAGUCUUGUGUUAUUCAGAUGCACUGACCCCAUAAAAUGUUAUGAGGUAAAAGCUACUCUCAUGACCUGUAGAAAUGAAUGUCACUUUCUAAGGUAUCAGGGAAGAUUUGAGUCCUGGGAGAAUAUGCUGCUCUCCCUAAUGGCAAUUCAUGUAUCACUUUGAUGCUCAAAAAGUAACGACGCUGUCUCUUCCCCAAAGAAGAAUGAAGCAUAUGUGAAGCCAUCGUUUUCUUCACAAGGUCAGAGAACAAAGUACUUCGAAGCCAAAUGAGGAAAUUGGGGCGUGAAGAUAACUAUUUUAGAAUAUUUCUGGAAAUAUGGUAACCAGUCAAGACAGCAUUUAUUUUAAAGUGUGGUGUUAUAAUUUUGCACAGAAAUUUUUUAUGAGAAUAUUUUUGUCACUUUCAGAGAGAUCUAUUAUGAUAUGCAGGGCUGAAGGGAACAUGUUGACAUGUCUGAGAGCUAAAACAAACGUGAAGAAUGAAGCUGAAAAUAACCAGCUGUGAAGAAAGCAUUACAAAGCGCUGGGUGGCACUCAGCAUUGUACAUCUAGAAUUCAGAGAUGUGUUAGGAGAAUGCAAUAACAUGGCACUCGUAGCAAGCUUUUCCAAGAAGAAAUUAAGAAGGGCACAUCAUUUGCUAUUAUAGACUAAGGUAAUUGGUAUCUACGUAUCUGUGCUCUUCUGCUGCCAAUAGGGAUAUGCAUGAAAAAGAUGCAGCUGCACCUCUCUUUGCACAGUGGAUUCCCGAAAAUCUCUGUGCAAAUAAAUCCCAUUAUAAAACCAGAAAUGAUUCAUCUUUUCUGAUUGAUCUUCAAUAUAAAUGGUUCUUAACAUUUAACCUUUAAGAUCCUUUGUCUGAGCCACAUGGGGUUCAACUUCCUUCUCUAUACUACUGGCUCCUAAAUAUUAGUUCUUAAUGAAGUGUUCACCAUGCUCUUGUGAAAUAAGAAAAUGAAGGGAAAUGAAGUAACAUUUUGGGAGAUAAAUGUAUUCAAAUUAAAUGGCCUUGUUUAAUUCUGAGAUUAUGCCAUUAUGUUUUCCCUUUUUGAUGUUAAAAAGACCUUUUCUUUUAUGAAAUCAUGCUAACAGUAGAUGUUCAUUUAUAGUGUGUUGCUUAUAAUUUUACUGGUUUCUGAAAUCUAAAACUAUUUGUAUCUCAAUAUGCAACCAUACAAAACAUCUCAAGCCAACCUCUGCCAAGAGUUAAUGCAUUUUUCAACAAACGAAUAAAUAUAGAACUUACUUUAUAAAGAAAAUAUCCCAGGCUUCAUCUUAUAAUGCAAAGAGGUGUUAUCUAGCUAUUCUGGGUUUUGAC